GACGAACGCUGGCGGCGUGCUUAACACAUGCAAGUCGAACGGAAAGGCCCUGCUUUUGUGGGGUGCUCGAGUGGCGAACGGGUGAGUAACACGUGAGUAACCUGCCCUUGACUUUGGGAUAACUUCAGGAAACUGGGGCUAAUACCGGAUAGGAGCUCCUGCUGCAUGGUGGGGGUUGGAAAGUUUCGGCGGUUGGGGAUGGACUCGCGGCUUAUCAGCUUGUUGGUGGGGUAGUGGCUUACCAAGGCUUUGACGGGUAGCCGGCCUGAGAGGGUGACCGGCCACAUUGGGACUGAGAUACGGCCCAGACUCCUACGGGAGGCAGCAGUGGGGAAUAUUGCACAAUGGGCGGAAGCCUGAUGCAGCAACGCCGCGUGCGGGAUGACGGCCUUCGGGUUGUAAACCGCUUUCGCCUGUGACGAAGCGUGAGUGACGGUAAUGGGUAAAGAAGCACCGGCUAACUACGUGCCAGCAGCCGCGGUGAUACGUAGGGUGCGAGCGUUGUCCGGAUUUAUUGGGCGUAAAGGGCUCGUAGGUGGUUGAUCGCGUCGGAAGUGUAAUCUUGGGGCUUAACCCUGAGCGUGCUUUCGAUACGGGUUGACUUGAGGAAGGUAGGGGAGAAUGGAAUUCCUGGUGGAGCGGUGGAAUGCGCAGAUAUCAGGAGGAACACCAGUGGCGAAGGCGGUUCUCUGGGCCUUUCCUGACGCUGAGGAGCGAAAGCGUGGGGAGCGAACAGGCCUAGAUACCCUGGUAGUCCACGCUGUAAACGGUGGGUACUAGGUGUGGGGUCCAUUCCACGGGUUCCGUGCCGUAGCUAACGCUUUAAGUACCCCGCCUGGGGAGUACGGCCGCAAGGCUAAAACUCAAAGGAAUUGACGGGGCCCCGCACAAGCGGCGGAGCAUGCGGAUUAAUUCGAUGCAACGCGUAGAACCUUACCUGGGUUUGACAUGGAUCGGGAGUGCUCAGAGAUGGGUGUGCCUCUUUUGGGGUCGGUUCACAGGUGGUGCAUGGCUGUCGUCAGCUCGUGUCGUGAGAUGUUGGGUUAAGUCCCGCAACGAGCGCAACCCUUGUUCACUGUUGCCAGCACGUUAUGGUGGGGACUCAGUGGAGACCGCCGGGGUCAACUCGGAGGAAGGUGGGGAUGACGUCAAGUCAUCAUGCCCCUUAUGUCCAGGGCUUCACGCAUGCUACAAUGGCUGGUACAGAGAGUGGCGAGCCUGUGAGGGUGAGCGAAUCUCGGAAAGCCGGUCUCAGUUCGGAUUGGGGUCUGCAACUCGACCUCAUGAAGUCGGAGUCGCUAGUAAUCGCAGAUCAGCAACGCUGCGGUGAAUACGUUCCCGGGGCU
rnacentral:rRNA from 1 species